rnacentral:rRNA from 1 species
GACGAACGCUGGCGGCGUGCUUAACACAUGCAAGUCGAACGGAAAGGCCCUGCUUUUGUGGGGUGCUCGAGUGGCGAACGGUGAGUAACACGUGAGUUACCUGCCCUUGACUUUGGGAUAACUUCAGGAAACUGGGGCUAAUACCGGAUAGGAGCUCCUGCUGCCUGGUGGGGGUUGGAAAGUUUCGGCGGUUGGGGAUGGACUCGCGGCUUAUCAGCUUGUUGGUGGGGUAGUGGCUUACCAAGGCUUUGACGGGUAGCCGGCCUGAGAGGGUGACCGGCCACAUUGGGACUGAGAUACGGCCCAGACUCCUACGGGAGGCAGCAGUGGGGAAUAUUGCACAAUGGGCGGAAGCCUGAUGCAGCAACGCCGCGUGCGGGAUGACGGCCUUCGGGUUGUAAACCGCUUUCGCCUGUGACGAAGCGUGAGUGACGGUAAUGGGUAAAGAAGCACCGGCUAACUACGUG